rnacentral:rRNA from 1 species
GAUCAUGGCUCAGGAUGAACGCUGGCGGCGUGCUUAACACAUGCAAGUCGAACGGAGAUAUUGAAAGCUUGCUUUAGAUAUCUUAGUGGCGGACGGGUGAGUAACGCGUGGGUAACCUACCCUGUACAGGGGGAUAGCAGUUGGAAACGACUGAUAAAACCGCAUAAAACGGCAGUACCGCAUGGUACAACCGUCAAAUAUUCAUAGGUACAGGAUGGGCCCGCGUCUGAUUAGCUAGUUGGUGGGGCAACGGCCUACCAAGGCGACGAUCAGUAGCCGGCCUGAGAGGGUGAACGGCCACAUUGGGACUGAGACACGGCCCAAACUCCUACGGGAGGCAGCAGUGGGGAAUAUUGGACAAUGGGGGAAACCCUGAUCCAGCGACGCCCGCGUGAGUGAAGAAGUAUUUCGGUAUGUAAAGCUCUAUCAGCAGGGAAGAUGAUGACGGUACCUGACUAAGAAGCACCGGCUAAAUACGUGCCAGCAGCAGC